rnacentral:rRNA from 2 species
GGCGUAAGGGUUUGUAGGCGGCUUUAAAAUAAUUAAAGAUAGAAUCAAAUAGAGGUCACUGUGAGAGAAUUUUUAGAUUAGGGUUGAUAUCUGCACAAACUAGAAAGAAUUCUAAUUAGCGAAGGCACUUUUCCAUCUAAUGAUUGACGCUGAGAAACGAAGGGGAGGAUCGACAAUAGGAUUGGAUACCCUGGCAUCCCUCUCUGUAAACGAUGAAUGGUAGUUGCUAGUAAUAAUAAUUAGUGACGAUGCUAACGCGUUAACCAUUCCGCCUUGUGAGUACGGCUGCAAAGUUGAAAACAAAAAAAUUAGUCGGUUUCGGAGCAAACGAAGUGAAGCAUGUUAUUUAAUUCGAUAAUCCGC